GGGGCCGUCUAGUUUCGACAGGUAUACUUGAGCUCUAAUCGCAAGUCGUAAGGUGAUACGUCAAAUCCCAAAAUAAAAUAACUGGAAACAGAAAUCAAUUAGCUUUCGCUUAAGAUAAAUAGAAGGCUGCUUCAGUAAAUCUUUUCCUACGAGAUUUAUAUGAGGCUCGAAUGAGUAGGAUAUAUUAUUAUGAUGUCUAUAAAUAAUAACGAAUAAUAUAGACUUACUAUUAAAUUGUUUGUUGAUUAACGUAUUUAAUAGGACAUUUAUUAAUCAACUAAACUUGUAGACGUUAUUGUGUUAGUGUAUUUGGACAGGAGUGCGAUUCUCCUCGGCUCCACCA
rnacentral:tmRNA from 1 species